UACGUAGGUGGCAAGCGUUGUCCGGAUUUAUUGGGCGUAAAGCGCACGUAGGCGGUUUGUUAUGUCGGAUGUGAAAGCCCUUGGCUCAACUGAGGAAGUGCAUCCGAAACUGGCAAGCUAGAGUAUGUAAGAGGGUCGCGGAAUUCCCGGUGUAGAGGUGAAAUUCGUAGAUAUCGGGAGGAACACCGGUGGCGAAGGCGGCGACCUGGGACAAUACUGACGCUGAGGUGCGAAAGCGUGGGGAGCAAACAGG
rnacentral:rRNA from 1 species